rnacentral:rRNA from 1 species
CCCUUAGAUGUUCUGGGCCGCACGCGCGCUACACUGACGAAUGCAACGAGCUUAUAACCUUGGCCGAAAGGUCUGGGUAAUCUCCAAAUUUCGUCGUGAUGGGGAUAGAUCUUUGGAAUUAUUGAUCUUGAACGAGGAAUGCCUAGUAAUCGUAGGUCAUCAGCCUGCGAUGAUUACGUCCCUGCCCUUUGUACACACCGCCCGUCGCUCCUACCGAUUUCGAGUGGUUCGGUGAACCUUUCGGACCGGCAAUGCCUCGUGUUGCGCCGGAAAGUCAAGUAAACCAUAUCACUUAGAGGAAGGAGAAGUCGUAACA